UACGUAGGGUGCAAGCGUUAAUCGGAAUUACUGGGCGUAAAGCGUGCGCAGGCGGUUUUGUAAGUCUGUCGUGAAAGCCCCCGGGCUCAACCUGGGGAAUUGCGAUGGAGACUGCAAGGCUAGAAUCUGGCAGAGGGGGGUAGAAUUCCACGUGUAGCAGUGAAAUGCGUAGAGAUGUGGAGGAACACCGAUGGCGAAGGCAGCCCCCUGGGUCAAGAUUGACGCUCAUGCACGAAAGGCGUGGGGAGCAAACAGG
rnacentral:rRNA from 1 species